rnacentral:misc_RNA from 1 species
GUAGGUGAACCUGCGGAAGGAUCAUUAACACGUAUCCAACGUUAAACAACCCUGUGAACUUUCAGCGCUCUUGUAGCCCCAGAGGAACAGCAAUCCCGGUAAAUCAAAUGGCGGAAAGAGUUUUGAUUCGGGACCUCUGUCCAAAAGGUAUCAAGUUACAAUCGAGCAGAGCAGUGGCAUGGUUUCCCUAAGCAGUGCAGAAGGAUCCACUGAGUAAGGAUAACGCAUCACGGUUGCCAGAGGUCGAUCA